CGUUUGAAUGACACUUUUCGUCGGAAUCGUAGGAGACUCGAUAUACAUUGAAUACUUAUGGUUCACUGAUAUAUAAAUACGCAACACAUGUGUUUAAUCUCUAAAUUUGACUCCGGUGGAAAACAUAGCCAAUGGUAACCAGUAGCUUCAGAGACACGAACUGCGAUUCUUCGUGGGAAUAAGAGAAAAAGAUUUACAAGAGCAUACCGAAUUGUCACAGGUAGGAAGCCACCCUGCGGUACACCUGAAUUUCGCAACCGGAUCUAAUCCUCCAAGAAGUCAAGUAGUUCACCAUAUUCCGUAAACCAAGAUGAAUACCUCGUAAAAUCAAGAACCUGUACAACAAAGUCCUAACAUAACCUAUCUUGGUGCAAUAUUCAGAUAAAAUUCUAGUCUAGAAUAAAUUAUAAAAAUAACUCACGCCAAGAUAAUGCCCACGGUUUGCCAUCAAGUGGAACGCGCUGAUUUAAAAUGAAAGUGAACGAUGAGCAAGCAAAAUAAUUUUAUUGAGCCAAGAGAAAUUCCUUGUGACGUACACACCCAAUUUUAUGAUAUAUUAUCAAUAUAUCCAUCAAUGUACUAAUACAGUAAGAUCUCACCUCAUCGAUAAUCCAUUCCUCUAGCAGUGUGUAUCGAUUGAGAGCCAGUUCCGAAAAUAUUUGAGAUCUUAUAACCUAUCUUCCAAACCGGCACAGACAUUUCGUAUAGAGCAAGACCCGGAAGGAUUCGGGCCAGUGUGCCAGACGGUUCUCGGGGCAAUUAAAGGAAAGAAAAAA